AUACCGCGUGUGUGAAGAAGGCCCUAGGGUUGUAAAGCACUUUAAGUUGGGAAGAAAAGUUAUUGGUUAAUACCCAAUGACCGUGACAUUACCAUCAGAAUAAGGACCGGCUAAUUCCGUGCCAGCAGCCGCGGUAAUACAGAAGGUCCAAGCGUUAAUCGGAAUUACUGGGCGUAAAGCGCGCGUAGGUGGUUUAUUAAGUUGGAUGUGAAAUCCCCGGGCUCAACCUGGGAACUGCAUCCAAAACUGAUUCACUAGAGUACGAUAGAGGGAGGUAGAAUUCACAGUGUAGCGGUGGAAUGCGUAGAUAUUGUGAAGAAUACCAAUGGCGAAGGCAGCCUCCUGGAUCUGUACUGACACUGAGGUGCGAAAGCGUGGGUAGCGAACAGGAUUAGAUACCCUGGUAGUCCACGCCGUAAACGAUGUCAACUAGCUGUUGGGGAACUAUGUUCUUCAGUGGCGCAGCUAACGUAGUAAGUUGACCGCCUGGGGAGUACGGCCGCAAGGCUAAAACUCAAAUGAAUUGACGGGGACCCGCACAAGCGGUGGAGCAUGUGGUUUAAUUCGAUGCAACGCGAAAAACCUUACCUAUACUUGACAUACUUGGAAUGCUUUGUAAUGAAGCAGUGCCUUCGGGAGCCAAGAUACAGGUGCUGCAUGGCUGUCGUCAGCUCGUGUCGUGAGAUGUUCCGUUAAGUCGGAUAACGAGUGCAACCCUUACCCUUAUUUGCCAGCGAUUCGGUCGGGAACUAUAAGGGGACUGCCGGUGAUAAACCGGAGGAAGGUGAGGACGACGUCAAGUCAUCAUGGCCCUUACGUAUAGGGCUACACACGUGCUACAAUGGAGAAUACAGACGGACGCUAAGCCGCGAGGUGGUGCUAAUCCUAGAAAAUUCUUCGUAGUCCGGAUUGGAGUCUGCAACUCGACUCCAUGAAGUCGGAAUCGCU
rnacentral:rRNA from 1 species